rnacentral:rRNA from 1 species
UCCUACGGGGGGCAGCAGUCGGGAAUAUUGCGCAAUGGAGGAAACUCUGACGCAGUGACGCCGCGUGCAGGAAGAAGGUUUUCGGAUUGUAAACUGCUUUAGACAGGGAAGAUAAUGACAGUACCUGUAGAAUAAGCUCCGGCUAACUACGUGCCAGCAGCCGCGGUAAUACGUAGGAUGCGAGCGUUAUCCGGAUUUAUUGGGUUUAAAGGGUGCGCAGGCGGACCAUCAAGUCAGCGGUAAAAUCGUGGGGCCCAACCCCAUCCCGCCGUUGAAACUGGCGGUCUUGAGUGAGCGAGAAGUAG